rnacentral:tRNA from 1 species
GGGGCAAUAGCUCAGCUGGGAGAGCGCGUGGUUCGCAAUCACGAGGUCGAGGGUUCGAUCCCCUUUUGCUCCACCA